CUGGCUGGAUGAGUUUAGCCUUUGGUUACAUUCACGCCAAGGCUUGUGUUUAUAAUAUCACCCUUUUGUAAAUAGUUAAUUUAGGUGAUUAAUCACAGCUGGCCUUUGCAUCUUUUUAGAUUGUAGAUUUAAUUUUUUGUUUCUUUAUGACGGGCCACAGUGGGCGUGAUUCUCCCGUCACUCUCGUAAACAGGUAUGUAUGUUUAGGUAUAGUUAGGUUUUUAAGAGUUUAGAGAUUACGUUUUUAUUCCCAGCAUGUUUGAGACACAAGAGGCAUCAGCAGAGGAUGAAGACUUCUAUCAAUCAAAACUAUUGUCCCACAAUCAGCCCCAGGAGGAGACGCCAGCAGAGGAAAGAAACAAUAUUAACCAAAACAAUAAUUCACUGAUUGAGAACAAGGAAGAUGGAAGAGUACCAUCAUCUACCAAUGGAGGAGGAGGAAGAGGAGAAAAAUGGGGGAGCACCAGCAUCCAAAAGUGUCCCACAAUCAGCCCCAGGAGGAGAUAUCAGCAGAGGAAAGAAAGACUAUUAACCAAAACAAUGUAAGUAAAACACUGAUCACAUGUUUAAUGUAUAAAUAGACGUCACGUUUUACUAAUGCCUGUAAAAUGUUGGAGAGGAACGCCAACAUCCACUGAUGGAGGAGAAGAAAGAUGGAGGACGGGAGUGCCAGCAUCUACCAAUGGAGGAGAAGAAAUACUUUUAUUAACCAAAACAAUGUAAGUAAAACCUCUCAUUUACACAUAAAGACACUGAUCACAUAUUUAAUGUAUAAAUAGAAGUCACGUUUUACUAACACCUGUAAAAUGUUGGACUUGAUCACCAGCAUCCACUGAUGGA
rnacentral:lncRNA from 1 species